rnacentral:rRNA from 1 species
AUUGAACGCUGGCGGCAGGCCUAACACAUGCAAGUCGAACGAGUGGCGGACGGGUGAGUAAUGUCUGGGAAACUGCCUGAUGGAGGGGGAUAACUACUGGAAACGGUAGCUAAUACCGCAUACCAUCGGAUGUGCCCAGAUGGGAUUAGCUAGUAGGUGGGGUAAAGGCUACCCUAGGCGACGAUCCCUAGCUGGUCUGAGAGGAUGACGCGCCAAACUGGAACUGAGACACGGUCAAGACUCCUACGGGAGCAAGCAGUGGGGAAUAUUGCACAAUGGGCGAAAGCCUGAUGCAGCCAGGCCGCGUGUAGGAAGAAGGCCUUCGGGUUGUAAAGUACUUUCAGCGGGGAGGCGUUACCCGCAGAGGAAGCACCGGCUAACUCCGUGCCAGCAGCCGCGGUAAUAC